UGGGGAAUUUUGGACAAUGGGGGCAACCCUGAUCCAGCAAUGCCGCGUGAGUGAAGAAGGCCCUCGGGUUGUAAAGCCCUUUUGUCAGGGAAGAAACGGAGUUCUCUAAUAUAGGAUUCUAAUGACGGUACCUGAAGAAUAAGCACCGGCUAACUACGUGCCAGCAGCCGCGGUAAUACGUAGGGUGCAAGCGUUAAUCGGAAUUACUGGGCGUAAAGCGCGCGUAGGCGGCUUGGUCAGUUGGGUGUGAAAGCCCCGGGCUUAACCUGGGAACUGCAUUCAAUACUGCCAGGCUGGAGUAUGGGAGAGGGUAGUGGAAUUCCACGUGUAGCGGUGAAAUGCGUAGAUAUGUGGAGGAACACCCGUGGCGAAGGCGACUGCCUGGCCCAAUACUGACGCUGAGGUGCGAAAGCGUGGGUAGCAAACA
rnacentral:rRNA from 1 species